UACGGAGGAUCCAAGCGUUAUCCGGAAUCAUUGGGUUUAAAGGGUCCGUAGGCGGUUUUGUAAGUCAGUGGUGAAAGCCCAUCGCUCAACGGUGGAACGGCCAUUGAUACUGCAAGACUUGAAUUAUUGGGAAGCAACUAGAAUAUGUAGUGUAGCGGUGAAAUGCUUAGAGAUUACAUGGAAUACCAAUUGCGAAGGCAGGUUGCUACCAAUAUAUUGACGCUGAUGGACGAAAAGCGUGGGGAGCCGAACGAGGAAU
rnacentral:rRNA from 1 species